AAGUCGUAACAAGGUCUCCGUUGGUGAACCAGCGGAGGGAUCAUUACCGAGUUUACAACUCCCAAACCCCUGUGAACAUACCUAUACGUUGCCUCGGCGGUUCGCGCCGCCGGGUGACACCUAAACCCUGAUUUAAUUACAGAAGUCUUUCUGAGUAAAAACAUUCUAAAUGAAUCAAAACUUUCAACAACGGAUCUCUUGGUUCUG
rnacentral:misc_RNA from 1 species